rnacentral:rRNA from 1 species
UACGAAGGGGGCUAGCGUUGUUCGGAUUUACUGGGCGUAAAGCGCACGUAGGCGGAUCGUUAAGUCGGGGGUGAAAUCCUGGAGCUCAACUCCAGAACUGCCUUCGAUACUGGCGAUCUCGAGUCCGGAAGAGGUGAGUGGAACUCCUAGUGUAGAGGUGAAAUUCGUAGAUAUUCGGAAGAACACCAGUGGCGAAGGCGGCUCACUGGUCCGGUACUGACGCUGAGGUGCGAAAGCGUGGGGAGCAAACAGG